rnacentral:rRNA from 1 species
GGAAGUAAAAGUCGUAACAAGGUUUCCGUAGGUGAACCUGCGGAAGGAUCAUUACUGUGACAGGUGCCCCCCACGGGGGGACCCUGCCAGAGAUAGCACCCCUUGUCUUUUCCGAGCACCCAACCGUUUCCUCGGCGGGCCCGCCCGCCAACGGGGACCAACCACAAACCUUAAACCGCAGUUAAGCAGUAAACCGUACAAAACCCAAAAAAUCAAAACUUUCAACAACGGAUCUCUUGGUUCUGGCAUCGAUGAAGAACGCAGCGAAAUGCGAUAAGUAGUGUGAAUUGCAGAAUUCAGUGAAUCAUCGAAUCUUUGAACGCACAUUGCGCCCUUUGGUAUUCCUUAGGGCAUGCCUGUUCGAGCGUCAUAUCAACCCUCAAGCACCGCUUGGUGUUGGGCGCUUGUCCCCGCCCCCGGCAGGGACUCGCCCCGAAUCCAUUGGCAGCCACCGCACCGGGCCAACGAGCGCAGCAGAAUUCGCGCCUCGGGCAAGGAGCGUGGGCGACCCACUGAGCAACCCAUCAUUUUGACCUCGGAUCAGGUAGGGAUACCCGCUGAACUUAAGCAUAUCAAUAAGCGGAGGA